CCCUUAGAUGUCCUGGGCCGCACGCGCGCUACACUGAGUGUCUGAGAUAUGAGGCAUGCCUGGUCCGGCAAGGUCUAGGUAAUCACGAAAAGGCACAUCAUGCUUGGGAUUGAUUAUUGCAAAUUUUAAUCAUGAACGAGGAAUUCCUAGUAAGUGCAAGUCAACAGCUUGCGUUGAUUACGUCCCUGCCCUUUGUACACACCGCCCGUCGCUCCUACCGAUUGAGUGAUCCGGUGAGGCUCUGGGACCUGGACGGAAAGAGCGUUUCGCUUGUUCUGUUUGGGAAACUUGGUCGAACCUUAUCAUUUAGAGGAAGGAGAAGUCGUAACA
rnacentral:rRNA from 1 species